UUCCACCCUGGCAAUAGGCAAAGAGACACCUUGUUGGUGGUAGUCUUCUUAUAUCAGGGGCAAAGCAAACAGCAGUCCUUUGUUCAUUCUAGCUUGGUGCUUAGAUUGGUGGCCAAAGCUAUUUUAUGCCUAAAACUCAUAA